ensembl:lncRNA
GACAGCUAGUUUUUAUUUGAGGUGUGUAAUUAUCUCAAAAUCUGACUGAAGCUCCAAAGGAAAGAUUUGCCAAGAGGAGCAAUUAGUUAUCACCAAUUGAAAUAAGAGACAUUUGUUUCACUGGAGAGAUUAAAUCCAGAGCAUAAAAGUACUAAUGUAUUAUGGAACACUGAAAAAUAUGGAGUGGUUGUGUUGGCAUAAAACCAGAUAUUUGCUUUGUAGUUUUAUCUGUAAUUAGAAAACAUCUUUAAUACUUAAUAAUUUUUUUUUUGUUAACAAGUGUUUUAGUCUUAAUACAAUCAGGCCUUUCUGUCAGUUACCAGAAAGUCAAGUUUAAUUUUCAACAAAUUCUCUUUUUAAUAAAGUUUGACAGAAAAUAUUUAUGCUUCUAUUACUUUUUUUUUCUCCAUGUUUUUAAUGAAAACAGAAAGACAGAGACAAAAAUAGAGUCAACUCAGUGGUGUAAAGCUGUUGCAAAGCCCUGGAAUGGACACAAAUAUAAGAAAUUAAUAGUACAUCCUAUAGAGGCAUUGGAUUUUAGUGAUUUGUGCUCGGGGGACUCCUGGCAGAGACACUUUAGCCAUGGUUGUUAUAGAAUGAGCUCCACAGCCCCCCAAAAUGGGAAUGUCUAAAUAUCAAGAGACAUUUCAAGGAUGCCUGAUGCUAUCAAUAUGACCAGGGAGUGAUUAAUGCAGCUUGUUGAGGUCGUUAAACUGAGAGGUGCAGCAGGCUGAAGUUUACAGUAUUGAUCCAAUCUCAGUCCUGGUAAAAAGAUAUAUGGAGGAAAUAUAAUGGUAUUAUUGCUGCUCAUGGUAAAGCCAUGUGCAAAGAGAACAGAAGACCUCUUAAACUUUAGUGUUGCAUAAACUAUAUAAAGCACUCCAGAAGCAAAGGUAGGCUCGUGCUUAAAAGCAGGGCAGAUGUUUUAUAAUGGGAGCAAAUUCUACAGCGCAAAUAAUUACACUGUAAGUCACAGUUGUGAUUGUUCCCUUUAUGCCGUGCAUAAAUGAUUCCAAGGAAGGCAUAAACAGUAAAAAAAGGAAUUGCUUUCAGUUGCAAGCUGCAGGUGCAACGAGACACAAAGGGACCCAAGAAGAAGUGUUGAAUUACAACCUUUUUCCCUUCCCAUCUGACCUACACAGGGCCACAUCAGCCGGCUGCCACCUGAUGGAGCAUUUCUUCUCAUCCUUUUCCAGUGAUUGGCCUCACUGGAGCAGCUCUGGUGGCUGGAAAAGGUGCACUGAACCUGGUGGGAAACAUUCGCUGGCUGAAAACAGUAGCUUCCUCUGGAUACUAAAAAUUCUACCCCUAUUGAGCUCUUUGCUGGUAAAAGAUUUUCUGUUAAUUUAUUUGUUUUAUUAUAUAUUUUAUUAUAUUUAUUUUGUAUUUUUUUUUUUAAAUAUUCUUGAUCAUGGAAAUCAAUAUAUUAAUAGGUUCUCAAUUAUUAGCCCCUAAGCUGUCUUGUAAAAAGAGUUACUCCUUAUAAUUUUGGCCCCUAAGUUGAAGAACAAAUACAGAACAAGACUUAUUCACUUGCAAGCUGGGCUCUGUCUACUCCCUGCAAACAUUGAUUUUAUUUUGUAAAGUGUCUAUCAAAACAUGUGAGUGCAAUUCCAACCUGGCAGUCCAUGGAAAAGAGAAAAAUUAUUCUUUCAGGGAGCAGCCCAGAAAAUACCUGGCCAGUGAAUGCAGCUGACAUAUUGUGCUUGAAUAUUGAGACAUUUUGUUAAUAGCUGGAAAUACCAAAAAUAGAGAAUGUGUUAUUUCUCCAAGACACUGAUGAAGAUAAUUACUUGUCAACAUUCCAUAGAUAUGUGUUUUCCUCAGUGAAAUUUAAGUUAUUUGUCUUUUGUCAGGCUCUAUAAAAGUAAGGAGAGUGAAAAAAAACUCCAAAAAUAUUUUCCACACGUCAGUUUUUUAGGUAACAAUAAUAUAACUACAGAAACAUGUAAUCUACUGCAAAUUGUAUUUACCAUGAUAUGCCUGCUAGCUGGAGGCUUUUGUUGUUUUGUUUGUAAUUCCCAAUCUGAGACUGUGCUGAACACGAUGUAAUUUGCUCCAAGGCUGUGUAACUCACGGGAGGGGAUACAAGGAAUUCCAAUAUUCCCAUCAACAGUAAAUUGGUCUGAAACCAUAUUAUUUGUUUCCAUUUUCUUCUGAGGAAGAAUAACAGCCCUUACACAGAUUUUUCCCUCGUGCAAGCUAUAAGUCUAUUGGCUUCCAAAGUUAGAUAAAUGUGUUUCUGGUAUGAUUUAAAAAGAAGAGAAAAAAAAAUAAAUAAGAAAUAAGAAAGUGCUUUUAUAAUUUG